rnacentral:misc_RNA from 1 species
CGACUUCCGGUGCCAGUGUCCCUUCAGUUUUUGGCUAUUACGCCUAUCCUUUCAACGAGUGCUUGCGUGCUGCUACCAGUCGCACGGGAAGUUGCAUUGCCAAAUGUUGCUUUUGCCGUGCAUGCCCCAAGGGCAUGUCACGUCAACUAUAAAGCAUUCAUGGCGUUGCCUCGUGUAGCUGGCCGCAUAGGCUAGCAACAUCAAGGUGACCUCAUGUAUGCUGUUGGUCUCGGAUGUGGCUAACCAUAAAGGCUGAAGGUGCUCUUGCUCCUCAUGCCUACAAAACAUUGUCCGAUUGGAAACAACGACAGUAGGCCUGGCCGAUGCCUCGUGCGGAAGCUAGUGCU